AUGGCUCUCACAUGGUUAUGGGUUAUUGUCCAUUACAUAUUAUAUGCCCAUCUUGCCAUGAUCACUUUGCAUGAUAUUAUCAUUCCUAUACGUUUGCCAUGCAUUUGUGACCCAUGCUUUGCAUUAGACAUGAUGAUUGAUUCUAGUACUUGUAUGUGUAUUUGCAAGCUUGGUGGAGAUAUCACUUGUUAUUGCCAUGUUUGCUUUGUGCCCCAUGCCUAUGAUGAUAUCUUGCUUUGUGCUCGUGCUCGCGAUAUGUCAUGUGCAUUUCCUAUAUCUAUUACUUGCUCACAUGACAUGAUUGCCAUGAUUUCCUCUACUGUGUUGCAUCUUCGCUCCACUAUUUUACACGACUUCAUUGCUAUGCUUUCUCAUGUUGCAUCCAAUUCUUGGAUUACUUACUACUAUCACAUGUUUGGUUGCAACAAUGUCAUUACUUCACAUAUGCCUAUGCCUACUAUUUGCUCUCAUGACUUGAUUGCCUCGCGCAUGUUGCAAAAUUGCUAUAUCAUUUGUGUUGAGUGCAUCACCUUCGUCACCACACCAUAUGCACAUUAUACUUGGAUUGUCUUGCACUUGCCCCAUGUGUUUAGACAUUUCAUUUCUCUUGGUGUCGUGAAUGACUCUUAUGCCUACCAUAGACCAUUUGUCGAGCGCUUUAUGCAUGUUUGCUAUGAUCUUGAGGUAGAUGCUUGUUCACUUGUCACACAUAUUAGCAUCUUUACCUCCCAUUUGCAUACUUGUUUCCAUGAUGUCCUUGAUUGUGCUCACCUUAUAUGCUUAAAUGCCAUGCCACACUUCUUUGUCAAACCAUAUGCUAUGCUUGAUGACAACACUUGUUGGGCAAAUCACCUCUUGAAUCCUUGGUUUUGCUCUUACGCCAACCACAUUUGUUUUUCCAAGUGCUUGUUAUCUUUGCUCCUUUUGAAGGAAUUACAAGACGGUGCGACAUUGGAGAGUGCCAAUUUGAAACUACAAGAUGAUGAACGCUUGGUGAUCGUCAACUUCUACAUGACAACAUCAUCUCUUUCCCAUGGUGACUUGGAUUUCGAUCCGAGGUCGGAUCUUUCCCAAGGGGGAGGGGAUGAUGAGGAGCAUCCUAUGGACAUCAACAAGUCAAGAGUCCAUUUGGCAAGUGGCACGUGCGACAUCUACUUCACAUACAUAAAGGUGAAUCUUCUCCUUUACACGUGUUCACUUGACCCCUUUGAGGAUGGUAUACUACUUGACAUUCCUUCCGUGUGCAUGCAUAGGUAUUGUCGGAGCUUUACACUUAACAAGGACGAGUUCAUGCGGAAGAGAACAUCUACACCAUCCAAGAGGGAAGCCUGGAAACGGAGAAGGAAGUGCCAAGAAGAAGGCAGCAGCUCCCAGGCGACCACGUGUCCACGGGCCCCUCCGACCCCGUGCCCACGGGCCCCUCCGACCCCGUGCCCACGGGCCUCCCAGGCUGGCGGUCCUGAAGACCCCAUGCGCACGGGAGUGUACCGUACCCACGGGACCCCCGUGUCCACGGGCCUCACGGACCCCGUGCGCACGGGCCCUUGCGUCAGGUCUCUGGAUGCCCCAUGCGCACGGGCUCCACUUACCCCAUGCACACGGGGCCCCCUGUGUGAUGCUGCGGGCUUUGCCCUUGUUUUACCAUUUCGCCCCCACUUAUCCCUCUCUUUGCCUAGGACUAUAUAUACUCCUUCAUCUCCUCCAUUUAGAGGAAGCUAA
rnacentral:rRNA from 1 species